CAUCUAAGCGUGAAGCCUGUCCCGAGAUGAAGUAUCUCAUGGAGUAAUCCAGUAAGAUUCCUUGAAGAAGACAAGGUAGAUAGGUUGGGAGUGGAAGUGCCGUAAGGCAUGCAGCGGACCAAUACUAAUAAAUCGAGGGCUUAUCUUU
rnacentral:rRNA from 1 species